rnacentral:lncRNA from 1 species
CAACCGCCGUCUUCAUCAUCUCCGCCGCCUCCUGGCCGUUGCCGGCGCCCCGCAGCCUCCGAUGGGGCAGCCUCCAGCCCCUGCCCCGCGCGCCGCCUGCUUAAGGGGCUGGACCCCUGGACCCUGAGGUCACCAGCCCAGCGGACUGAGUCACCCAGGAUCUCCUGUGGAAACAACAAAAGGAAGAACGAGCAGACAACCUGGGGACACCUGCCCUGGAAAACGGGUGAAAAUAUUUACCAUCUUCCAUAGCAAGAACUUGACCCAUCAGCGGAGAUCCCAGAGGGUUCUACUGUGGAAACGCCGGAACAAGAACCGUGUAGACAACGUGAGGUCUCCCACCCUGGAACGUGGGUGAAAAUACUUAAUAUAACAUCCCCUGUGGCACACACCGAAGUUGGAACAGUCCGUGCUGUCAUUAGAAGGUGAC